rnacentral:rRNA from 1 species
CCUACGGGAGGCAGCAGUGAGGAAUAUUGGUCAAUGGGCGAGAGCCUGAACCAGCCAAGUCGCGUGAAGGAUGACGGCCCUACGGGUUGUAAACUUCUUUUGUCAGGGAGCAAUUGGGUCCACGCGUGGGCUUAGCGAGAGUACCUGAAGAAAAAGCAUCGGCUAAUUCCGUGCCAGCAGCAGCGGUAAUACGGAGGAUGCGAGCGUUAUCCGGAUUUAUUGGGUUUAAAGGGUGCGUAGGCGGAAUAUCAAGUCAGCGGGAAAAAUUCGGGGCUCAACCCCGUCGUGCCGUUGAAACUGAUGUUCUUGAGGGGGCGAGAGGUAUGCGGAAUGCGUGGUGUAGCGGUGAAAUGCAUAGAUAUCACGCAGAACUCCGAUUGCGAAGGCAGCAUACCGGCGCCCAACUGACGCUGAGGCACGAAAGCGUGGGUAUCGAACAGGAUUAGAUACCCCUGUAGUC